AUUGAACGCUGGCGGCAUGCCUUACACAUGCAAGUCGAACGGCAGCGGACCUUCGGGUGCCGGCGAGUGGCGAACGGGUGAGUAAUAUAUCGGAACGUACCUUUCAGUGGGGGAUAACGUAGCGAAAGUUACGCUAAUACCGCAUAUUCUGUGAGCAGGAAAGCAGGGGAUCGCAAGACCUUGCGCUGAUUGAGCGGCCGAUAUCAGAUUAGCUAGUUGGUGAGGUAAAGGCUCACCAAGGCGACGAUCUGUAGCGGGUCUGAGAGGAUGAUCCGCCACACUGGAACUGAGACACGGACCAGACUCCUACGGGAGGCAGCGGUAAGGAAUAUUGGACAAUGGCCGCAAGGCUGAUCCAGCCAUGCCGCGUGCAGGAAGACGGACCUAUGGUUUGUAAACUGCUUUUGAACGGGAGAAAACCCCCCUACGUGUAGGGGGCUGAUAGUACUGUUAGAAUAAGCAUCGGCUAACUCCGUGCCAGCAGCC
rnacentral:rRNA from 1 species